GACAGAGGGGGCAAGCGUUGCUCGGAAUUACUGGGCGUAAAGGGCGCGUAGGCGGAAUGGCGAGUCGGUCGUGAAAUCCUUCGGCUCAACCGAGGAACGUCGGCCGAUACUGCCGUUCUUGAGGGAUGCAGAGGAGAUUGGAAUUCCCGGUGUAGCGGUGAAAUGUGUAGAGAUCGGGAGGAACACCGGUGGCGAAGGCGGGUCUCUGGGCAUCUCCUGACGCUGAGGCGCGAAAGCGUGGGGAGCAAACGGG
rnacentral:rRNA from 1 species